AAACUGNUUUUGUCCAGGAANAAACCUUUCUACGUGUAGGAAGCUGAAUGNACUGGAANAAUAANGAUCGGCUAACUCCGUGCCAGNAGCCGCGGUAAUACGGAGGAUCCGAGCGUUAUCCGGAUUUAUUGGGUUUAAAGGGUGCGUAGGCGGCCUAUUAAGUCAGGGGUGAAAUACGGUGGCUCAACCAUCGCAGUGCCUUUGAUACUGAUGGGCUUGAAUCCAUUUGAAGUGGGCGGAAUAAGACAAGUAGCGGUGAAAUGCAUAGAUAUGUCUUAGAACUCCGAUUGCGAAGGCAGCUCANUAAGCUGGUAUUGACGCUGAUGCACGAAAGCGUGGGGAUCGAACAGGAUUAGAUACCCUGGUAGUCCACGCCCUAAACGAUGAUAACUCGAUGUUGGCGAUAGACAGCCAGCGUCCCAGCGAAAGCGUUAAGUUAUCCNCCUGGGGAG
rnacentral:rRNA from 1 species